rnacentral:rRNA from 1 species
CCUACGGGGGGCAGCAGUGGGGGAUAUUGCACAAUGGGGGGAACCCUGAUGCAGCGACGCCGCGUGGGUGAAGGAGUGCUUCGGCAUGUAAAGCCCUAUCGGCAGGGAAGAAGCAAGACGGUACCUGACUAAGAAGCCCCGGCUAACUACGUGCGAGCAGCCGCGGUAAGACGUAGGGGGCGAGCGUGAUCCGGUUUCACUGGGUGUAAAGGGAGCGGAGACGGCCAUGCAAGCCAGGGGUGAAAGGCCGGGGCCCAACCCCGGGACCGCCCUUGAAACGGUAUGGCUGGAGUGCGGGAGGGGGAGGCGGAAUUCCUGGUGUAGCGGUGAAAUGCGUAGAUAUCAGGAGGAACACCGGCGGCGAAGGCGGCCUGCUGGACCGGGACUGACGUUGAGGCUCGAAAGCGUGGGGAGCGAACAGGAUUAGAUACCCUUGUAGUC